rnacentral:rRNA from 1 species
GACGAACGCUGGCGGCGUGCCUAAUACAUGCAAGUCGAACGAGAGCGACCGGUGCUUGCACUGGUCAAUCUAGUGGCGAACGGGUGAGUAACACGUGGGUAACCUGCCCAUCAGAGGGGGAUAACAUCCGGAAACGGAUGCUAAAACCGCAUAGGUCUUCGAGCCGCAUGGCUUGAAGAGGAAAAGAGGCGCAAGCUUCUGCUGAUGGAUGGACCCGCGGUGCAUUAGCUAGUUGGUGAGGUAACGGCUCACCAAGGCCGUGAUGCAUAGCCGACCUGAAAGGGUGAUCGGCCACAUUGGGACUGAGACACGGCCCAAACUCCUACGGGAGGCAGCAGUAGGGAAUCUUCCGCAAUGGACGCAAGUCUGACGGAGCAACGCCGCGUGAGUGAAGAAGGUUUUCGGAUCGUAAAACUCUGUUGUUAGAGAAGAACAAGUGCUAGAGUAACUGUUAGCGCCUUGACGGUAUCUAACCAGAAAGCCACGGCUAACUACGUG